AAAAUACUUCCUCCGUCCGAAAAUACUUGUCAUCAAAAUGAAUAAAAAUGAGUAGUUUUUAUUCAUUUUGAUGACAAGUAUUUUCGAACGAAGGGAGUAUAUU
rfam:Triticum aestivum genome assembly, contig: Triticum_aestivum_CS42_TGACv1_scaffold_499974_6BL